CUUGUCUUGAUUGACGGUGGUCUCUAGCCUGCCACCUUGCAGGCGCGAGUCUCAACGCCUUUUCGUGAGCUGCCUCAACGGCAAUGGCGGUGGUGGCGUCGCCACUCGUUGACUUGUUUAACUGUGUGGCGUUUUGAGCUUUAUUCCGUUGGCGUGUGAUAAAAAUACGUUAGUAAUCAAUUGCAAGCCCAACUGCCAAGACACGGAAUUUAGACGCGCCUUCGCCGUUGUCGUCGUGGUUUUACAAUCGCUAAUUUAGUCGUUUUCAUAAUAAUUAUACAUAUAACAGCGAUUCGAGCAGCACGUACACCUGCUAUUGAGUGGAUAAUUUGCAGUUAUUUUCGAAUAUUUGGAACCAUUGACAAAUUUUGCUGCAGAACGACAAACAACCAAAGCGUUUAACGCUAAAAUUAGUUUAUUUUAGUCAACUCAAACGCUUCAUAGUGCUCCUAGAGUAGCCCUGAAUAUACUGAUUAACCGCUUGCAGUCAACCAUCACCACCAAAUAGUGCUUCAACCACACACACACACACACACAUUAUGAGGCAACAACAUUUAUUUGCAAUCGCCGCCUGCCUGUGCAGCGCCGCCAUAGUGCUCGUGUCCGCUGUGCCGCUGCCUGCCGGCAACCAGGAAUUAGAUGUGUUACAGAUUCCGCUUUCAGAUGGCAAGGAAAUAGAUGUUUUGACACUUGGCGCCAAAGAUCAGGAACAAAUAAUUGCUGAACGAAAUAAACGAACGAUUGGUCUACUGCGUGAACUGUUUCCCGACAUCACAAAGCAAAUCGACGACAUAGUUAAUCGCAUUAUAGGCCAGGUUAUACGUGUUGCCGGACCGAGUUUACUGCCAGCAUUGCUCGGCAAUCGACCCACGACCGAACGUUCAGACUUCGAUGACGAUUUUGAAGAUGACGAUGACACCAGCAAUGAUGUUAGUUCUCGGGAUGGUAAUAGCGACGGUACCAGCACAACUGCUGGGAAAAAUGGAAAUGGUGGGUCGCGUGUAAGCAUUGCCUUGCCAACUUUUCCACCAGAGAGUGGUUCUACUACUCAAACGCCACCAGCUGCUUCAGAUAAUCAAUAAUCUAAAUACACCACAAUUCACGACAACAACAAAACCAAUCACAACAACGCCUUUAAAAGCAGUUUCAACACAAUCAUCAGCGUUAAAUUCAACUGCGAAUAUUACUAAACUUCUACCGGUGGCCAAUUAAUUGGAAACAUAGAAAAAUAAACAAGAAAUACCUAUCAGCAACUAUCACAAGUACAAAACUUAAAUCACUACAACAACUAAUAUAACUGGCAGCAAUAAUGCGAACACAUGUUGGAAAUUUCCGUUAUGUAAUUGGCUAAUAUAACUAUAUACAACAACAACAACAAUAUCUUUACACAAGCGAAUGUAUAGAGAAAAAAAACAACAACGAAAUCAGCUAAUCAACAACAGCAACACAUUCCACAAACUAAAUGCAUCAGUGCAUAAAUAAGUAGCUCGCUAGUUCACCACGAUCGUCAAUUUCCUCUCAGCAACUAUAUCGUAUUGUAAUAUCGUACGUUACAUAUUCUUAUUUACCGACGUUGUAGUCGUUUCAUAUUCUCACCACAUCUACAAUUCACCAACGAUAUACAAACAUAUAUACAAAUAGUUACAUAUAUAAAUAUGUAUAUAUGGUUGCUUAUGUUGUUGGUUUAGUUAUGUCAUUGAAGAAGUUCGUUAUCUUCAGUGCACUUUCAUCGUUUAUUACUCCCUAAAAAGCCCUUGAUUUAUUGGUGUUGUAGUUUUUCCUCUCAUUAAGGUUCCUGUGCACUCAUCGUAGAUCAUUUUUGUGCGUGUUUUACAUUUAUGUGGCACCAUUUCCGGUUUUAUUCACAAAUUGAAGGCAUUGCCGUUUUGUAGACAUAUGAAUCCUUGUAUUGAAAUUUACUUACCUAUAUACGUAACGUUGGCAUACUAAUAAUACUCAACUAAAUAACCUAUACUCGUAUAUACAUACAUAUAUGUACGUGCUGCAAAAAAAUUUAUAUAUUCUUGCAAUGAAAAUUAUUACUUAUAUGACUUAAAAUAAUUAGAAUAGGAAAGGUAUUGAAAAUCAAUCAUAGCUCCUUAAGACAGACAGAAAACGAUUCUGUAAUCAGCUAUGCCACAACCAGAUAUUUUGGUGAAAAAGCCGUUAAAAGAAAUCUUACAUUAGUUAGAGAACAUCUUACAUUACUUGUAGAGCUAACAAGAAAUCUUAAGGAACGAUCCUGUAACAAGUAGCAUUAAGUAUUCAUGAAAAUUCUGGAAGAAGUUUUUAUACAAAUUCUACAACUUACUUUUUAAGCUUAUCUUGCCUUACCAACCAAAAAUAAAUAUGAAUGGUCAUAACAGUGCCGCUAUUAAAUGCUUUUCUAGAAAAUUAAUGAGUCCUUCAGCACUUUAAGUAUUGCAAAAUAUAACAAAUGGUCAAUAGAACAUCGCUUCAGCACUAAAUUGAUUGCUAAGCCCUCAAACAGCUGAAGGCUUUCAAAUAUUUUUUUGGUUAAACAAAUAUUAUGAACUCGCACCCAACAAGACAACAAACUUUAAAUUUAGAAAACUGUCUGAAUAAAAAUUAUUCUUGAAGGUUUUCCUUUUAUAUAUGGUAAAAAAUAAAUCUUAUGAAUCUCAAUAAUUGCCGAAUACUAUACAUUAUUUGCAGCGCUAAGUAAAUAAGUAAUAUAACCUCUGAAUAUUUCGUAACAAACCAGUAACUAAAAUACAAGAAAGUAUAUAAAAUCUAUAUAGUAUAUAUGUAUAUCAUUCAUCCUCAUACAUUGCCGUAAAUCGUCAGCAAAAGGCAUGAGAGUUUUCAUAAUUCAGAAAGAAGCAAAAUUUGGUAAAAAUAUGUAUUAUAUUGAAAAUUUUGAAAAGUUUUCUUGAUUUUGCAUUGUAAAAUUAAAAUUCUUAAUAUGGUUAGUGACCAUUGAGAAAGGGAAAUAUUUUUAACACCUUCCUUAUCUCAUUCGUAAAUAUUGUUUUUAAAAACUUCGUGUCUUAACGGUUGUCUCCUCUACUUUAUAUACACAAUAAUUGCACCUACAUUUUGCACAUACUAUUUCUUUGGUCUAACUGUCCGCAUACGAGAAAAGAGUGGGCACCUAAGCAUGAUCUUUUCAUUACUUGUUUGAAAUUUAAAAAAAAAAUAUACCCUAUGUUUCUUACCAAAAAUCAAAACACGAUUCGAACCGUCACUGACUGUGCUGUUGUUGUAGCAAAUCGAUGAUCAAGUGAAUCGUAUAAUUUCGAAAAUACUGCGCACAUUGGGGCCCACUGUACUGCGUACCGCCGUGCAAGGUAACACCGCAAACCGCGCACGCACCAAUUUCGACGCCGAUUUUGACGAUGAUGAUGACAGCAGCAGUAGCAGCAGUAGCAGCAGUAGUAACAGUAGCAGCAGCAGCAGCAGUGGCUCUAGCCUUAGUUCCAGCAACGGCAGUGGUACACGCGUCUCCAUUGAGCUGCCAACUUUUGCGCCGGAUGAAGAUGAUGAGAAUAAUGAGGUGGGCAGCGCAGACACUUCCAGCGGUGUAGCGACAUCUACUGGCAGCACGAAAUGUGAGUGGGCGUGUGCGAUUAAGUAUUGUUUUACUAUGUAAAAAAAUGUACUGCAAGUGUAGGGCGCAUACACUUUGUGCGGAAUGUAAUGCAACAGCUGUCAAUUUGACAUUUCGUUUAACGGUUGAAUUGACAGUGGCGUGCGCCUAUGUAACGCAAACGUUACUACUUUGCAAAAUACUUAAUUUUAAUGCAUUUUAAAAUUCGAAUUUUUCAAAUUCUUUUAUUUUUUUUUUAUUUAAUUGUUAACAGAAAUGCAAAAUUCUUGAAUUUGAUUGUUAACGAAUAAUUGGCAACAACUAAAACGAAUUGGCAACAUAAAAUUAGUAUAAAAAUUUUUAAAAUUAAUAUAUGCAUCUAAACAACAACAAUUGCAAGGCAGCGUACAACUUUACACCAAACCAACAACACACGUAAAACGCAUGGAAAAUAAUAAUUGUAACUAUGAAGACGGUCGAUGCUACAACAGACGCAACAACUGUCAGUCUAACACUGAGAGAAAUUACUAAAUUAAUAUACUUUAAUGUGUGAAAAAUAAAAACUACUUACUUUAACUUUACAUAAUUUUCUUUUACUCUUCCACUAUGUCUUUAAUUCUCAUUUGAAUGUCUUUUCCACCAUUCACUUUAACUAACUAUUUAUUAACUUUAAUACAUGUCCAGCGUGUCUAGCAGCAUCUAUACUUGUUCUCUUUGUAUGUACGAGCGUGUGUUGUAAAUUUUCAUUAAUCAUUUUAUAAGUACUUUCAUAAAAGACGGUCAUUUGAAUUGUCAUAAUUAUUGCAAAACUGACAACUUUAUUUUCCCUAUUUUCACUCUCACGCAAAUACUCUCUUGUAUCGCUCCAUAUGUUUCACUAUCUCGCAUUGUCGCUCCCAAAAACUGUUGAAUAUUUAUGAAACUUUCAGUAUAGUUAAACCGAGAUUGCACACGAAGACUUUUAUUGUUUAUAAUCACACGGACGGCAUUUUUAAAAAUUAAAUUUUUUGCAUUCCUUUUCAUAUCACUUAUUCAAAUUCUUGUAUGCUUCAAGUACACGGUGCACAAAAAUAUUUACAUACAACUACAAAAAGUAGAUAUUAAAAUCAAAAUUUCGAACAUAUUGAAAAUAUACAUUUAAAACUGAGUGCAAUUGCAACCAUGGAAAGUAUUUUAAAAUGAAAAGGAAUGUCAGAUUGCGUAACAGCGAACUGUUACGAACUAAAGCACGAAUGUCUUUCCUCGUCGUCCCCUUACCUACAAAAAGUACAGUUUAGGUGACAAAAAUUUUCGUGUGUGAACUCAGUCUAAAAACAUAGGUAUUAAUGGAAUAAAGUUUUAGCGCAAUGAGGUCUGUAUAUUUAGCAAAAUUUACUUUGGAAAUAUAUGAUAAAAAUUAUGCGACAAGCUUUCUUAUGUAAAUGUAUGGCUUAUCAGCACUACAGAAAUUUAUGAAAAUUCUGCAGAGCAAAAUAUUAAAAUCGUGGCUUGGUUACAUUACAGACUUUUUUAGUGUAGUUAAGAAGUUUGCAAGGAAUCGCUUUACUGUAUAGCCUACGAAAUUUCUUAUAACAGUAGAUUAUGAAGAGAAACGCUGAUUGAAUAUAAGAAAAAAAAAUUUUUAUCAAGCGUUCUUUAAAGUGCUGCUCCGACUUUUGAAGUUAAUUGAAGCUAGUACUCAUCAUCUACUGUCAUAUAUAUUUGCACUUAUGUUAUACAUAUGUGGCAUAGUUUUUUUUCCAUAUAUUAAUAAAUGGUAGGCAUCUAUGGAAAUUAUUUUGUUAAUUAAUUGGCUUAAAACGAAAUUUCAUAAUUCUCAUGCUUUUUGUUUUUCUCUUUUUCUUUCUAUUUACUUUCAUAUUUACGCAUACCAUGAUUCGAACUGUGAAAUAAUCCACCAAACACCCACACACCUACACCCAAAAAAAAAAUUGAAUAAAUCAUAAAUUAAACGCAUAAAAUUUUCAAAUGAAAUUGUGCAUUUUAAUUUGGAACUUUGAAAUGGCAACAACAAAUAUUCUGCAAUAAAAUUACAAAAACUAUAAAUUGCAAAAUUUUUACAAAUUUCCACAAAAAAAAACUAUAAAAAUAUCACUUGCACGUGCAUCUUUAAAAACCGUUCACAAAUUAUUUUUAUUAACUGUAAAUACUGUACGCUAAAACUUCAAAACACUACAUCUGUCCUGCUCGUAUUUGCACUUAUGACUGUCGCACUUUGCUAAUGCUUUUAUUAAAUCAAAUAUCUCACCCACUUUCAUAACUUGUUCUACACAACCUUUUUGCCAUACUAUAUCUAUGACUUAUCCUGGACAAACACUUCACACAACAAACGCAUCAUAAAUUACGCCACACACACAUAUACAUACACCUAUCCUUCAACGCGCUCUUGUAUAUUCUCUCACUAUCACACUUUACUAUUUCUCUAUGAUAAAAAAAAACAUUGCACACUACAAUAAAAACACGUACACGCAAAACCCACAAACAACAAAUAAUAAACAUGAUAAAUCAAACAAAUUCAAACGAACCACAUUCGGAAAAUAUCCACUUCGAUAAAUCUUUAUCGCUAACUUUCUUGCCACAAUCAUUCAAUAAAUAUACGAUCACAACAUAAAAUAAAUUUUAAAAAAAAAACAACAACAAAACUGGGUUGGCCAUUACCAACAAAAAAUUUGCAAUUAAUACGUAAUUUAAACGCAAUUCGAACCACGGUGUUGCGAUGUCGUUGAAAAUCUUUGCCACAAAACCCAGAAUGGUGCAACCGAUACACAAAUCGAUUUAUCGGCCAUAAAUAAACAACUUGAGGAGACAAUACGAGUGGCACGACAAGUAAAGGAAGCUGAGGCUGCGGCACAAGCUAUUGCCCAACAACAACAACAGCAAACCCCAUCAUCGCUACCAGCACAAUUGCCGAUACCAAGCAAAACCGAUCCCAAUGCGCCCAUUCAGUUGAGUUUCAACAACGAAGCUCGUGACAGCUCAAAGCCCGUCAAUAAUGAUCUACGUCUGACCGAAUCGAAAUCCCCGGCCAUUGAUGAGCUCACUUUGGACUCCAAUGAGGACGCAGCCGAUUUAGAUGACCGUAACAAGAGUAAUUUGUUCAAAAGGUUCCUGAGCUUCGGUGGAGCCGGAGUAGCGGGCGGUUCAAGCGGCAACACUGGUAAUGCCGCACCUAAUGGUGGUUCGGGAAAUUUCCUCUUCGACAUCAUACGCCUGUUCUCAGGCAGUGUUCAAACUCAAGCUGGCGAUGAGGCGGCUAACAGCGCCAACAGUGUGAGUGGCGGCGGUGAUGCCGAUGGUGAUAGUGAUGCGAAUCGUGCUGCCGAUGGCUACACGGAAGGUAUUCCCGGACCCGUUACACGAUUGGUUGUGCUGGCAAACAGAGGCUUGGCCAAUCUGAUACAAGAUUUGAUAUUGCGUAUUGCGGCAACCAGCGAGAAAUUCGUCAACUUCAAGGCCAAGCUUAUCACAGCGCUUAUCUAAAUACACACCAGUUAGCAGCUACAGCUGUCGUCAUAUCACAAAAAACUGCCUUUGCCCAUGUUCAAUACUCUUACAACAUUUACAUACACGCACAUACACAGUAAGAAAUCGCUUUAGCAAACUCAUAAAUUAGUUGAAAUUGGAAUUGCCAUUAUAUCAAACAAAAAUCAUUGCGGGGCAGCUGAAACAUAUACGAAAAACCGUCAAAAACUAUUAUUGUAAACUUGUAAUAUGUAGAAAAUUAAUACUUAUAAAUGCAUACGAUAUGUUCGCAUCGCCAAAAGCAACAUUCAUGAAAUGCUUAUGCGCCAAUUACAUAACCUUAAAACUACCGGCAAGAAUGAUAAAACUGAAGCGUAGUCAAAAACAAUCUAACUACAAAACAUAAAUACACACAAUAGAUAUGUUAUAUUCCUAAGAGUGUAUCUUUUCUCAAUGAACUUAGCGGUGAUAGCAAGUGAAUAAAAAAUUUACAUAACUUGUCAAACGAACUUUCAUGUGUUCGUAAGCUCACAUGUAAGCUUGUGCAAAAAAUUGUGGUUGCGCCAGAUUUUCCCAGCGUAGAUACAGGAAUGCGUUGUAAUGAGGCGCACAGCUAAAAAAUUUAAUUGAUAUUAUUAUUAGUGUUUAUAAUGGCUAUUACUUCAUUUACUUUUCUCAACUUUUUUUAAUAAUUCAACACAACUACAACGUCUAUUGUAUUUUAUGUACAUACAAAUUCCUUUCUUUAUACUAUUGUUUACUCCUUUUAUAUAUACCUUUAUGAAUGAAACAUUAAUUGACUGUGGUGUUUAAAUAGCUACUUUAUUUAAAUUGUAUUUUUUUAAGGUUAAAAAUCUUAAAGAAAAAAUCGCAAAGCUCGACCUACUUGCAACACUGAUAGUGUUUGCGACAAAAGCGCAUUACUUGUCAAAAUUCUCCUGCUUUAUAAAUGUUGUUAAUUAUUAUUUGGCAUAAAUAAUUUACGAAAUCCUAUAUAUAAUUAAUUUAAGCAUUUUUAUUUACAUAUACAUAUGUGGUUUUUAGUUACUCAUUACUUCUCUUAAUUUUAAAACGAUUACUUUACGUUUUUGUACAGAAUUUUAUUCAGCAUUUUAAGCAAAUUUAAAACAAAAAUUAAUUAUAAAUGGUUAACAUGCAAAUAUAAGCUCUUAACUCGUCACGUACAAGUUACUACCAACUAAGAGUUACUAAAAGUGUAUGUAAUUGUAUAAUCAUGUGGAUCAUUUGUUAAAUACAUAUAGAGAAUAUAAAAAAACGUGUAAAUUUUGUACUGCAAAUAUUAGCGUACUGUUCAGAAAAUAUUAACUUUCUUUAAUUCGAUGUACAUUUGCCUGUAAAUUUAAUUUUGUAAAUAAAAGUACGUAAGUAAAAAUAAUACUAAAAA